UUGGCCUUCUCCACCGUCUGCAGAUUGUUUUUUCCAUCGAUGUCCACACAAAUCACAGUGCUGCCCAAGGAAGCAUAGUGAAGGGCCAACUCCCGACCGAUUCCGUGACCAGUUCCGGUUAUCUGCGGUUGUGUAUCAUGAACAAUCUCCCCGCUGACAUCCUUCUGCUUCUUGGGCAGGACAAUCUGCACCAGGGUAACAAACAGCUCCAGCAGGAUUCGCACAUACAGCUCGACAAAUUGCAGGACAUCCUUGAGGACGUCGAAGAUGCGCUUCGAGGCAGGUGUGGUGCUGAAAUAAAGAACAUAUAUAGUGCACAGAUCGAAGCGAAAUUGCCAACAGCUAGAAACGUUUGCUGCCCACUCCGAGUUGGCAAAUAUUGAAACAAAGUCGAGUCUCGGCCAACCCCGAAAUGAUUUAAUUUAUCUAUUUGUAUGCGCCCGUUGCAUGUGCAAUGUUCAAGCGCUCGGACUUUGCCAAGUCCGCACAAUAUAGUACAACAUAAGAUACUGGAGAAUGCUGAGACUCAAGCCGCCUCGAAGUAUUGACACUGGGUCUUGGCCCCUUUUUCGGGUACUCGAGUGGCCAAGCGAAUGACAGUCAAGGCUGCUUGGGCUGGAAAAUUGCGUUUAAUGGAGGCUUCUAUUGGUAGAUUCCAGCAAAGCUAAUAAAAGCCUAUUUAGAGCAGCCUAUUUUUAGUAAAACAAAAUACAAACAA